rnacentral:piRNA from 1 species
CUGUGUGCAUUUGAUGUCUA